AAAACAGCACCAGACAUUAUUUUAUUUAUGGAACUCAAAUCAAAUCACCAAGAGGCAAAGACCUAAGUAGGAGGAAGUUCAGUAGAUAAUUGACUAAUCAGAGCUGUCUUCUCAUCCUAUUUGAUUCUAGGAUUAAAGAAAAUCUGUGUUGUGCAACCCAUUUAUAAUCUAAACACAUACCUGACUUUCUCUCCCUGAAACACCAAUGCUCCCAGCUUAACUGAUACUGAAAACUCUGCCUAUAUUGGAGGGGAAAAGAGCUGAAGUCCAGUGGAUGUAGCUAGUGGAGGAGUGCAGGAGACAUAAAUGGAGAGAUAGCAAAGACAGAACAAAAGUUACUUGGAGGAACAAGAAGUCUCCUGGAGAAGGUGUCCAAGUGGCUUCUUAGGACACUCCACUUAUGGGUCUUCUGGGUGGGCCUUUUGGAUACUAAUAGCUACCAUUUAUUGAGCCAUUGCCAUAUGCCAGAUGUUGUGGUAAGCAUUUUUAGUGCAUUAUCUCAUUUUAAUUCUCAGAACAACCUUGCAAGUUCAGUAUUGGUACCCCCAUUCAUAGAUGAAACUGAAGGUCAGAAGAUUGCAGUGAUUUGCCCACUGCCAUACAGUUAAGAGCUACAAAAGCCAGGAUUUGAAUCUCUGCAGAUUAGAUUUGACUCAAAGCUUCUGCCCUGGGUCCUUAGCUAUCCUCACAAAACCACUUUUUUUUUCUUUUUGAGAUGGAGUUUUGCUCUUGUCACCCAGGCUGGAGUGCAAUGGCACUAUCUCGGCUCACUGCAACCUCCACCUCCUAGGUUCAAGCGAUUCUCCUGCCUCAGCCUCCUGAGUAGCUGGGAUUACAGGCACGCACCACCACGCCCAGCUAAUUUUUGUAUUUUUAGUAGAGACAGGGUUUCACCAUGUUGGCCAGGGUGGUCUUGAACUCCCAACCUCAGGUGAUCCACCGGCCUCAGCUUACCAAAGUGCUGGGAUUACAAGUGUGAGCCACGACGCCCGGCCCACAAAACCAUUUUUGAGGCAGCUAGUAUUUCCUCCAUUCUACAGAUGAGGAGACUGAAACCCAGGGAUGACUCAACUUGCCCAAGUGGCACAGAGAGUAGCAGAGCCAAACCAGGUCUUUCGGACUUCAAAAUCUCUUCUGCUUUGAAGAUAGAAGAAGAGCAACGGCGAGGAGUGAGAACGUGCCAGAAGGCCCCUGCAGGCCAGGCACUGCCCUUUCCUAGGGCACAGGUCCUACCUACUCCCAACCUCCACAAUUAAGCCACUUUCCAGAAUUUUCUUUUCUCUACCUCUGCCCCAGUGUGGCACCUGAACUGAACAGGGACUGGGCGGUUCUUGGGGGAGUCUAAAACAUACCUUCGCAAAGAUUCCCUAGGAAAGGAACAUCCAGGGCACCACCAGCCCUGGUGCUCCCAUUCCGACACAUCUGAGCAAGGCCUGUGCGUAAGACUGGCAAGUGCUUGAACCAGGAGGCAACCAAACUGGGCUCAAACACAGCCCGCAGGUUUUGACCAAUACCAGCAGCUCCCCUUUUCAAAGCAUCUAUUCUGGGACAGACAUUUCACUAGGAGUUUCCUCCAUGUUUUAAAAUUUAAUAGCCCCCCCCCCCCCCAUGAUUGGCCCUAUUUUACAAAAGAGGAGCCUCCGACUCCUGGGGAUGAAGCGACAAGCACAAGGACAGAAAGUCCUCACGAGCUUGGGACUUGAACCCACUACGUCCCCAGAUUCUGCUGUUGCCCGGGAGUAGAGGAGGGAGGAGCUGCCAGGGCGGAGGGAGGUGGGGAGAGAAGGCAAGCUCCCAGCAGCGCAAGCUGACGACAGCAGGUGUUUUUGUUUUGUUUUGUUUUGUUUUGUUCUGCAGCACUCUUUCAGUCAGCAUCGUUCCUGGAUUUUUUUCUCCCUGCUGAGCAGCAUAAAAGGGUGGGGCCGCUUCCCUGCAGCAGAGGCAGAGGCGGCGGCGGCAGCGGCUGCAGCAUCAUUCGCGGGCAGCGGCGGAGACCGAGAGCUGCAGAAAAGGGUGGGGUCGCUUCCCAGGAGAAGAGGCGGUGGCGGCGGCGGCUGCGGCAUCCUCGCGGGCAGCGGCAGAGGCAGCAAUGCUCGGUCUCCGCUGGAGGUGAUGGCCUCCCAGCCCUGCUAGGUGGCCGGCUGCACUAGGACGCCGGCAGGAAGGAGACUCGAGCCCAGUCCGCGGACCCUGCGGCCACACCGCCCGGCCCCUCCUCUGCGCCAUGGCUUAAGCCUGUAGCCACCUCUCCUCACGUCGCCUCGCUCGACCGAGGUCUGUGCGCCGCCGCAGCCGCAGGGAGGGGCGCGUCCCAGGCACCCUUGCCGGGGACUCGGGAACGCCGUGCGUCUCACCCUUCGGCGCCCGCAGCAGACUGCGCUCCCAAAGGCGUUUGCGACCGGUAAUCGAGGGACUCUACAGACUCUCUUAGGACAGCUCUCCCCGGGUGCUCGCUGAGGGAGGAGGGCGAACUAGCUCCGGCUGAUCGGGGGUAGAAAACGGUGGGAACCACAUUGGCCGGUCAGGAUCGGAGGCUGAAGGAAGAUUAGAGACUUGCUUUAGAACCACAAGAAGAAAGAGGAGGCCGGCUUUUCAGCUAGCAUCAUGGCGUGGCCGUGCAUCACGAGGGCCUGCUGCAUCGCCCGCUUCUGGAACCAGUUGGACAAAGCGGACAUCGCUGUGCCGCUGGUUUUCACCAAGUACUCGGAGGCCACCGAGCACCCGGGCGCCCCGCCGCAGCCACCGCCGCCGCAGCAGCAGCAGCAGGCGCAGCCGGCGCUCGCGCCCCCCUCGGCGCGCGCGGUUGCCAUAGAGACGCAGCCAGCCCAGGGCGAGUUGGAUGCAGUUGCCCGGGCAACGGGGCCAGCGCCUGGGCCUACCGGCGAGCGCGAGCCGGCGGCGGGCCCCGGCCGGAGCGGGCCGGGCCCGGGCCUGGGCUCCGGCUCCACCUCCGGCCCCGCGGACUCGGUGAUGCGGCAGGACUACCGAGCCUGGAAGGUGCAGCGGCCCGAGCCCAGCUGCCGGCCGCGCAGCGAAUACCAGCCCUCCGACGCUCCCUUCGAGCGCGAGACCCAGUACCAGAAGGACUUCCGCGCCUGGCCGCUGCCGCGCCGCGGAGACCACCCGUGGAUCCCCAAGCCCGUGCAGAUCUCUGCGGCCUCCCAGGCGUCGGCGCCCAUUCUCGGGGCGCCCAAGCGCCGGCCGCAGAGCCAGGAGCGCUGGCCAGUGCAGGCCGCCGCUGAGGCCCGGGAGCAGGAGGCGGCCCCCGGCGGAGCGGGUGGCCUGGCGGCCGGAAAGGCGUCCGGGGCGGACGAGCGCGACACGCGCAGGAAGGCCGGGCCUGCCUGGAUGGUGCGCCGCGCCGAGGGCCUGGGGCACGAGCAGACGACGCUGCCCGCGGCCCAGGCCCAGGUCCAGGCCACCGGCUCCGAGGCUGGCAGGGGGCGCGCCGCGGCGGACGCCCUCAACCGGCAAAUCCGCGAGGAGGUGGCGAGUGCAGUGAGCAGCUCCUACAGGAAUGAAUUCAGGGCAUGGACGGACAUCAAGCCUGUGAAACCAAUAAAGGCCAAGCCCCAGUAUAAGCCCCCAGAUGAUAAGAUGGUUCAUGAGACCAGCUACAGUGCUCAGUUCAAAGGAGAGGCCAGCAAGCCAACAGCAGCUGACAAUAAGGUCAUUGAUCGCAGAAGAAUACGCAGCCUCUACAGCGAACCCUUCAAGGAACCCCCAAAGGUGGAAAAACCUAGUGUUCAGAGUUCCAAACCAAAAAAGACCUCAGCGAGCCAUAAGCCCACGAGGAAGGCCAAAGACAAGCAGGCGGUGUCAGGCCAGGCUGCCAAGAAAAAGAGCGCGGAGGGCCCGAGUACCACCAAGCCAGACGACAAGGAGCAAAGCAAAGAGAUGAACAAUAAACUGGCUGAGGCGAAAGAAUUGCCUCUCAGAUACUAUUGGCAAGCAGUCAGAGCUAAGUUUUGGGAAAGCGAAGAUGGACCGGGAGACGCACUGGCCAAAAAGGCACUGUGCUGGGCACUAGGGAAACCAGGAUGACUGAGACCCCGCCUCUGAUCACAGUGGGGCACGAAGGAGGAGGCCAUUCUAGCUGGUUCCAUGGAUCAGGGAGGACUUCAGCGAUGGGUAGGUGUUGACCAGGUGAACAGAGCCGGCGGGGGUGGCCAAGGCAUGCCAGAUAGAGGGGUCUGCCCAAGCAAAGGUCGGAGGGGGGCCAUCAAACACCAGGUGAACUUCAGUUCUGGGGGGAUAGCUCCCUUGGGAGGGUCAUGGCACAGGCUGGAGAGUGGCAGAGCUCGGUGGUGGAGAGGCCUGGUGCACGUGAGUGGGCGGUUGCUAACUGGGAUCUCCAUUUCCAUAUGCCCAGAUAGUACCUACACCCUGCAUGCUCCCCUGUCAUGCUUCUCUUGCUUGCUUAUGCGUCAGGCGACACCACAGAUCCUCUCUUGCUCUAAGCUAGGAGCCCUAGGGUGGACUUUUAUUGCUGGACCUGAUUGCUGAGUUUUGGGGGAGGCAGGGGUAGAAAUCAAUCAAGGGUGGUAUAAAUGAAAAGCCGUAUGUAUUUGUUUUCCAGAUGAAUAGAAAACAUCCCACCCACCUGUCUACUUUUGUAUGAGGCAGAAAACACAAAAGCUGCUCAAGAAAUAAAACAAAUACAUAAAAGCAUAUUAUUAAGCUCUCUUUUGACGAGUUAAGGGAGAGAGACAAAACGGGGAUUCAGAGAGGUGGUAAGAUAGACAAGCGAGAAGUAGAGAGGUAGAAAUAGCGGCACAGAGAGAAAAAGACACGGGAAAGCACACAUAUGAAGACAGCUAGAGUAACCUAAGAGAGUGCGAGAAGGUGAGACACACUCAGAGUCAGAGAAAGGGCAAGCGUUGGGCAAUGGAGAAGGCAGGAAGGGAGGGGCCUUGCCAGCUUUGUCAGUGCUGCCCACGUGGUCAGGGCUCUCCCAGAGGCUCUUCCGCCUGUGGUUCCCACCAUGCUCCCCUCUGCUGCCCAGAGCCCCAGGAGGCAAAUCUAUAACCCAUCACUCACAUUACCUCCCUGAAACAGCAAACAAACAAAAUUCAAACCAGCCCCCUAUUUUCAAAAUAGGUCAUUGUUGCUAAGUUAGCUAUAAAUGUAUUUCAAUUCUUCCUUAGAGUUUGUGUGUUCUUCAUGAAAUUCUUCCCUCUUUUGUUUCACUAGGGUUUAAGAAUUUACAACCUGCUUCUCAUUUCUCAUAGAUUUGAGGAGCGUCAAGUCCCAUUUCACAAAGGCUAUGGACUCCUUUAGUGUGUCACUGUGGUUUAAGGUUCCUUUUACUGCUAAAAUGUCUCAAAGCAGUUCACAUUUUCAGGACCAUAGGUACAGAAGUUUCUUUCAGGAUAUAACCUGUGGACCAUCUGCGUUAAAGCAAGGCUCCACCCCUAGCACCACCUGAGACCAGCAGGGUUAGGAAAGCGGCUAGGGCAGCCAAGGCCACUGGAACAGGAAAGACAGCUGUUUCAAACAAAGGGAGCCCAAACUCCACUCUCACAGAACCGGGCAUGUGUUUCAACCCCUACUUCCACCCCACUGCCAUUUGAUGCAUAUAUCCUCAUAACACCUAGACCAUCCUAGAAUUCCUACAACAGGGAGAACUAGAAUUAACACCAUUAUGUAUUGUGUUAUUUACCCUAUGAAUACUGGUUAACAUGGACAGUGCACUUAGGCAUUUACAAAAUUUGUGAGUGGAAACCAGUGCUGCUGUGCAACGCUGUGUCUCUCACUAACCUCCUGGAGCAUUAGUGUCCUCCUCUGAAAAUGGGGACACUAAUACCCCCCCUCAGAGGAGCAGAAUGAGGAUGAAAUGACAUGAGGGCUGUAGGGAACCCCUGGAGGACACUAAACAUGUCACUUCACGCCCUUCCCCUCCCUUUAGAGUACUUGAAAGUACUUGUCCACUUUCUGACAGAUACAUACUUAGCUGUUAGUAAUACACGAAGUUGAUUGAGGCAAACAUUCUUAAGAAGAUUGCUUUUAAAGAAUUACAGCUAUUGAAUUACCUUGAGUCCACAGACCUAAAUGGUAAUAUUCUAACAAUUUAUAUGUAUGCGUUGCUUAUGAAGCGUUUCUUUCUGUGCCAUUCCACUGAACCCUCCCAAUGUUAUGGGGCAGUUGUUGGCCCCAUGUAACAGAGGAGAAAGGGAAGCUCAAAGAGGAGGGGACACCUGCCAGCUUGGUCAGGCUUAGAAGAUGGAGAAAGUACUGGAAUCCAGGCUUCCAGCUCCAUAGCCUGCUGUCUAUCCCUCUCACCUGAAGGAGGCUCAGCUGGCCUGAAAAGAAUCAGGUUUCAGACAAGUGGGACCCCCCAAUAAAAACUAAGCCCAUACCCCACAGUGCCACACUCUGGCUGGGCCAUUCCAGGUCCUCCAGCAAGCUUGCCUAGUACCCUCUUUAAAUCUUGGGACCCGGAUACAAACUGAGGGAAAAUAAGAAUGGGGUCAGAUCUGUAUACAUCUGGCUCAGACGUCCUGGCUGUACUGACCAAUUAUCACAGCCAAUAUACAGUUUUUCUCCUUCUGAUACUAGCUUGCCUGGGUGACUGCAAUGUAGGUUACUAAAUGCAGAAUUGUCCAGCAGAUUCUUCAUUCACAAGAAAUAUACUCAGUCCUGGAGGUACCAAGAUAAAACUGGUAUCCAUUAUUAUCUGCAGUAUAUGAGUAUUGGAUCUGAGACUGCCAUUUUGAGCAUUUUAUUUCAGCCAGUGGAAUUGAGCUUAAAUUUCUGUCCCUUGUCCUCAUGUAAUGGGCCUCAAUUACUUGUUAACCUGGCAUUGUAUAUAGUGAUCUCGACAGAUGGCCCCAGAACUCUUAUCUGGGGCCAAGAGAGCUUCAGAUGCUGAGCUUUAAAAGUUACUGCCACUGCUUGCUACUGGUUUAAGCUGCUAGAGGGAUCUUUAUGCAAAUCUGACCAUGUCACCCUGUGCUUUAAACCAUCCGUGGGCUCCUCGUGGCGCAGAAGCUUCUUGUUCCCUCGGUGCACCAUGCUGCUUCUCACCUCCAUGCCUUUACCCUUGCUGUCCACCUGCCUGGAAUGCCCUUCUCCUGCUUCUCCACCUGGCUAACUCAUCCUUCAAGACUCCGCUCAGGGGACAGCUCCAGGAAGCCUUUCCCGCACCUCCCAAGCUGGGAGCCUGGCUCAACCCGUCAGUGAUUCAAGUAAGAAUCAAGGUCCUGUAGCCACAGAGCCAGACAAGGAUCAAGGUUCUGUGGUC